rnacentral:rRNA from 1 species
CCUACGGGAGGCAGCAGUGAGGAAUAUUGGUCAAUGGCCGAGAGCCUGAACCAGCCAAGUCGCGUGAGGGAUUACGGCCCUACGGGUUGUAAACUUCUUUUGUCAGGGAGCAAAUGCGUCCACGCGUGGACGUAGCGAGAGUACCUGAAGAAAAAGCAUCGGCUAACUCCGUGCCAGCAGCCGCGGUAAUACGGAGGAUGCGAGCGUUAUCCGGAUUUAUUGGGUUUAAAGGGUGCGUAGGCGGAGUGUCAAGUCAGCGGUAAAAUUUCGGGGCUCAACCCCGUCGUGCCGUUGAAACUGAUGCCCUUGAGUGGGUGAGAAGUAAGCGGAAUGCGUGGUGUAGCGGUGAAAUGCAUAGAUAUCACGCAGAACGCCGAUUGCGAAGGCAGCAUACCGGCGCUCAACUGACGCUGAGGCACGAAAGUGUGGGUAUCGAACAGGAUUAGAUACCCUAGUAGUC